GGGUGUGUAGCUCAGGUGGUUAGAGCGUUACACUGAUAAUGUAAAGGUCGGAGGUUCGAGUCCUCCCACACCCACCA
rnacentral:tRNA from 2 species